rnacentral:rRNA from 1 species
UGGGGAAUCUUGGACAAUGGAGGCAACUCUGAUCCAGCCAUGCCGCGUGAGCGAUGACGGCCCUAGGGUUGUAAAGCUCUUUCACCGGUGAAGAUAAUGACGGUAGCCGGAGAAGAAGCCCCGGCUAACUCCGUGCCAGCAGCCGCGGUAAUACGGAGGGGGCUAGCGUUGUUCGGAAUUACUGGGCGUAAAGCGCGCGUAGGCGGACUGUUAAGUCGGGGGUGAAAUCCCGGAGCUCAACUCCGGAACUGCCUUCGAUACUGGCAGUCUUGAGUCCGAAAGAGGUUGGUGGAAUGUCGAGUGUAGAGGUGAAAUUCGUAGAUAUUCGACGGAACACCAGUGGCGAAGGCGGCCAACUGGUUCGGUACUGACGCUGAGGCGCGAAAGCGUGGGGAGCAAACAGGAUUAGAUACCCCCGUAGUCC